GGCUUCCUGAGAACUAAACUGGGUCUUACUCAUCUUUGUACCCCUGCACAGUAUCUAGGACAUAGAAGAGGCUAAAUACAUACAGAUUAAAUGAGUAGAUGAGAGAAUAAUUUCUGGACACCAAAUGUCAAGAGGAAUAUAGAUGGCCUGUAUGGGGCAAAGGACUUAAAGGAAAGGAUCGGGAGAUCUGGUCUUGUGGGAACAAUUAAUCCAGAGUCUUGUCCACCAGAGAAGAUGCAAAGCAGGGCACAAGGUUUAGCCAAGUCCUUGGAGAUCCAGGUAACACUGAGUUUUACUUCACACUUGAAGAUCAAGAGCACUGGACAGGUGGCUGCUCUAUAGCUGUGAAUAACAUAACAUCCAUCUCCAACCAGAUGAAACACUGAGAGAAAUUGAUGAUUUCUUAUUCUAAGAAGGUUCAUCGGGGCUCUUGCUCCAUGUUUCUGCAAUGUACUUGACCUCCUGUGUCUCGGCUUUGCCACUGGAUGCUGCAGGAAUUCUUGGUCUCCUAUCUAGGUAUGAAUACACUCAGAGGAAGGCAAAGGACCUGUCUUCCUGUUUCUCUGUCUAAGGAGGGGAGGAAUCAUUCCCUGUGAGUCCCCGCAGUCUUCUGUCAGCAUUCUUGCAUCAGUGACGGGCAAGAGAAUGGGAUUGUUGAGACAGCUCCAUUAGAGCAACUCCAUGAGCACUACAGGCUUUCUCUAAGGGGCUGCUGCAAAACCCCCCAGGAGCAUCUGCCCUGAGCCUCAGCCUGUACCAAGCAGGGUCAUGGAGAAACAAAGGAAGGGCCCCCACCACCCUGCCCAGGGGCUCACCGUGCAAGGAGGCAAAGCAAGAACAACAUAGACUGGUAACUGCCUGGGCAACACCUGGGCUUGCUCCUUCCCAGCUUCUGGCUGCAUGGUCUCUGGAGCAGGACGACGACGACCCUUGGACAAGCUGCAGACUUGGCUGGGCCUACAAGAAGGCUUUUCCCUGGGGCCCAGAGCAGAGGUAGAACUGGGAUGGACACUCAUGGCACAGUGUGGAACCAAGUAGGGAGAGGUGCGAUAAAGACUUCCUCUUCUUUGGACCAACAAUGACCAGGACAUUUCAGCCCAGAGCAGGCUGGUUCCUAGACUGAGCUGUCUGGUUAGAUGGUGCCAGGGGCCCUGGCCUGAUGGCAGCCAGAUGGUGAGCACAAGGAAGCCCUUGCAAAGGGAAGAAGCUCCCUUUGUCCACUUGAGGGCUGCCAGAGAACCCUGGGGAGAGCAGCACGCCCUCAAAGUGACCACCAGGGGGCUCCAGGAGACCCCGUGGGAGCUGCUUCCGGAAGAGAGCCUUCAGUGAUCCCCUGGCCUGGCACUCAGCCCUAGAACAUAUGACAGAACCUAAAACCAACCAGCAGAUGGUGAGCAACCUGCCUGCACAGGUAUGUGAUGGAGGCUGAAGGAGUUGUCUUCCAACAGGGGAAUUUCUUUCUCAUGCAAAAGUUUGACACAGGUCCACCCGGCUCCAAGAUCUUGUUGACAUGGCCCGGGCAGACCAACACUGUGUUCCCAUUAGCUGAUCUGUACACACAGCACUCUGUCACCAACCAUCCAGAGAUUGGCGAAGGCUAAAACCAACCAAGAUCCUGAGAGACAAACACAAGUUUCAUUCAUAGUCUCAAUCUGGCCAAAUGUAGUUGUUGGCAAUUCCUUGCAGAUAAUUAAAGAGACAGAUCAUAUUUUGCCUAAAAUAACUAAAGAAUUGAAGGAAUAAAACCAUUAGUUCCAGGGCAAAGGAGACCUGCAGGUUAUGAUGUGUCAACUUGUCAUUAGCUGAAUAAGGGCCUAAGGGCAAGGGCAGCAUGUCCCCCUUUGGGAGGAAGGCUUCCCCAGGGCAGAGUCUCUGGCCCCUGCUGGACCCCACCUACCACACUGGGCCAGGAGAUGCUCUGGGACCAUUAGAGAGACCUGCUGGCUGGGGCUCCUGGAGUGGGCCACGGCUGUGAGCCCUGCACCCCUGCAGUAGCCCCGGUGAAAGACAGCCCAAGGCAGCCCCCAGCUCUCAGCAGCAUCUGGUCCUCUCUGGACAGCCCUGACCCUGAGGCCACAACAGAACGUUAUCCCACCCAGAAUGUCUGGCACCCAGCGCUGCUACCAGCUCUUCUCUGGUCAGCAUUUCCAAGAGCCAGAUGCUUCCAGGACACAAGCCUCCUCUCCCUAAGGAGAGCGCAUGCCACUUGCCUCCAGCCUCUGCUUCCUUCCCAGAACUAGCAGGUCUCCCCAACUCCCUGGGGUCCCCAAUGCCAACCGUGGUCACUUCUCCAUGCUACUCUCAGCUUGAUGCCUUCCAGCUUCUUGGACCACUUUUCAGCCUGGGUUAACCGUGUGCCAAGCCUGUCCUGGGCAUGGGGAACCCAGAAGCAGGCUACCCUCCAUCAACUUCCUAUUCAAGCUGAUGACAGCCUCAGGAAUCCUCUUGAGGCUUUGCUUACCAGAGACCUGUCCUAGAACACAAAGCCUAGUAGAGCCCAAAGACUACGGCUGAGGUCAGGCUGUUGGGGCAAGGAGGGACAGUAAGAAUUAAGUUUGCCUGGAAUAGGGCUGUCAGAUUGUUUGGAGUAUGGACCAGGAAGCUGCAAAGUGGGUGAGAAGGAAAAGGCUAGGCUCUGGGCUGGCUCUCAAAGUCUGGUUGGGUUCAGAGAGGAAGCACAUUGAUCAAACUCACACUGAACUAAGCAGGCCUCACAUGUGGGUUCUAGCCCACAAUCUAGCACUCACUCACUCACUCACUCACUCAGUCACUCACAUACUCACUCCCAGGCCUUAGCUUCCUCCACUGAAAAGGAUGCCCCCUGCCCCUGUCCUCCUCCAGGAAUAUAGUGAGGAUUACAAGAAAUCGAAAAGAUUUUAUUCUCCAGCUCACACUUACACACCUGCAGGACAGGGAGCUCACCACCUCUCAGGUGGUGUCUUCCCUGAGCGGCUCGCCUAAAGUGCAUGGGGAAACCAGAGAAAGAAGAACCGAUACCGUUCGGGUUUUCACUUGGAGACUGCGUCUCCAUUAAAAUCAGGACUAUGACUAGACAAAGGACAAACCCCAGAAAGCCAGAUGGUAAUGCUGCCUUUGGAGACUUCCCUGAACAAUUUCCUCAGAACUGCCCAAACACUUCCCUAGCCUCGACCUGCUAUCCCCUUGCCCAGUAGCAUCUGCACGGGUGCUCAGGUCUGAGACCCCUGCAAUCACUCUGAAGCCACCCAUCAGAAAAGCUGAAUGGAUUCUGCUUGUGGAGCCAUGGCUGUGCCCUGAGCUGCCCCAGGCAGGGUGAGAGAUGUCUCCUCCAGGCCCAGGGGACAAACCCCUGAGAGUUUGAGGAAGAGCCCCCUAGAAGUGCGGGCAUUUGGGGCAGCCCAGGGGACUGGGAUGAGAAGCAGGCAGCAAAGGCAGGCAGCUGGUUCAGACCCGUGGCAGGAAGUCCCAACCAAGAUUCAUCCUGGAAAAAUGCAACUAAUGCUGCACAGCUGGGGCCACUAAUCAGAAACACAGGCCCAGAGGUGGCAGCAGGGACAGGCCCAGAGGGCAGGGCGGACAGCGAGGUGAUAAUUGGCAGCAAACUCUAGGUCCGUCUCCCCACCCUCUCCGGCUGGCUGCCGUUUGGAGACUUUGGAGACUGCAGUCUGAGAGGGCAGCUUCUCCCCAGCCCUGUCUGCCUGGAGGUGGACGCACGGCUCACUCAUAGCCCUCACAUCCCCUAAAACAAUAGCUGAAACCUUGGCCUAGUCUCCAGAGGCUGAAGCCUGGGGUGGUCACCUUUACCUCUGGAGUCCUCUUCCCAGGUGACAGCUCUUCCCAAGCCCCUGGGGCCCGAGUCCCUUCUCCCAGCACAGCGUAGCCUCAGGAGAAGUUCUGAGACGAGCCUUUUGGCCCUCAGUGGGCUCCUUCUCAAACUGGGCACAGGUUCUGUCCCCUGGGAAAGGCAUGAAAAGGGGGGGUUCCUGGGGUGAGGUUAUGGGCAGAGAGGUGAAGGACUGGGCUGGGCCAGAACCCCUGAGAGUGCCAUUUCCUUGAGCUGCUCUUACCAAGCUCCUGCUGUUACCUGUGUCCCAGGCAUGGGGUUAUGAGGUAAUGUUUGCACUCUCUGCCCUCAGGGGGCUCACAGUCUCAUUGGAGAGAAACAAGGGAAGAGGAGAUGUGGAGGUCACGGCAGGGACAGGACAGUCUCUGAGAGCAGAGGGCUAGGGAGGGGCACUGCCCAGGAACAGGACACACGGGCUGCCCACUGGGAUUCUCUAGGACCUCAGGUGCUCUACUGGAUCUCACACCCCCACCCCACCCCCAUCCUUUCCCCAAACUUUCCUUCUGCCCUCAGCUAUAUCCGCUCCGGGUGAGCCCUCUGCCACACACAGAUGGCAGGCCAUGCCUGGGAAGAUGGAGAGCCCUCUGCGUCAGGCAAGAAGCCAGGCCUUGCAGACCCUCACACCUCACAGCUCCCUCACUCUGGCCUAGACAAAUCCUCUGCUGCCUGUCUCAGGCUGUCACUGGCUUGAAUUUGCUGGCAGCUCCUCUUGUGGUUAAGACCCUUUCUUUAGCUACUCAGACUGUCUAAAGAGGCACCCUGGGGAGGCAGAAGUCUUCUGAGCCUCCAGAACACCCUGAUGGAAUCACCAGACUGGCCACAACUUGCCCCUCCCCAACCCUCCACAAGCCCUGUUUUCCUGUUACCUAUGGAAUUGACUCUGCGGUGUCAGUCUUGUACAAGUUAAAGAAAGCUUGGGAGGAGUGAGCCAGGGGGUCUUCAGUGGAGUUUGAGAAGUGGAAGUAGAAGGGAUGGGAGGA